AUUGAACGCUGGCGGCAGGCCUAACACAUGCAAGUCGAACGGUAACAGGAAGCAGCUUGCUGCUUCGCUGACGAGUGGCGGACGGGUGAGUAAUGUCUGGGAAACUGCCUGAUGGAGGGGGAUAACUACUGGAAACGGUAUCUAAUACCGCAUAACGUCGCAAGACCAAAGAGGGGGACCUUAGGGCCUCUUGCCAUCGGAUGUGCCCAGAUGGGAUUAGCUAGUAGGUGGGGUAACGGCUCACCUAGGCGACGAUCCCUAGCUGGUCUGAGAGGAUGACCAGCCACACUGGAACUGAGACACGGUCCAGACUCCUACGGGAGGCAGCAGUGGGGAAUAUUGCACAAUGGGCGCAAGCCUGAUGCAGCCAUGCCGCGUGUAUGAAGAAGGCCUUCGGGUUGUAAAGUACUUUCAGCGGGGAGGAAGGGAGUAAAGUUAAUACCUUUGCUCAUUGACGUUACCCGCAGAAGAAGCACCGGCUAACUCCGUG
rnacentral:rRNA from 1 species